rnacentral:rRNA from 1 species
CAUCGUCAACGNGCUGGCUCCCGUUUGUGCGCGAUGCCCCGAAUGGAUCCUCGUGGUUCAUUGAGAGGGCACACCACUUACGGCUUGAACGUUUCCGGCAUCGUAGUCGUGCACUUCUCCCCUAGUANAACGUCGCGACCCGUUGUGUGUCGGUCUACGGCCCGGGUGGGACCCUGUCGCGUCGCUUCGUGCGCACGUCAACAGACCCUCGGUCGCCUGGCCGGCUGCACGACGGUACUCGUACGGUAUCGGGCCGCAACCAAACCAUUCUCGAAUGGUGUAUGCGUCAGGCCCGCCGCAAGCUCGAUCAGUUCUUACCCGGAGGUACGGACCUGGUGCCGUCCCCGGGCCUGUUCAGCUGUUGGCAGGCGGUGUCCUUCGACUGGCCAAAGUUCGAAUUACCGGUCGGCGACGCUAUUGCUUUGGGUACUCUCAGGACCCGUCUUGAAACACGGACCAAGGAGUCUAACAUGUGCGCGAGUCAUUGGGAUUGAUAAACCUAAAGGCGAAAUGAAAGUGAAGGUCGGCCUCCGCGUCNACCAAGGGAGGAUGGGCCCCGUUUAC